GAUGAACGCUGGCGGCGUGCCUAAUACAUGCAAGUCGAGCGAACAGACGAGGAGCUUGCUCCUCUGACGUUAGCGGCGGACGGGUGAGUAACACGUGGAUAACCUACCUAUAAGACUGGGAUAACUUCGGGAAACCGGAGCUAAUACCGGAUAAUAUAUUGAACCGCAUGGUUCAAUAGUCAAAGACGGUUUUGCUGUCACUUAUAGAUGGAUCCGCGCCGCAUUAGCUAGUUGGUAAGGUAACGGCUUACCAAGGCGACGAUGCGUAGCCGACCUGAGAGGGUGAUCGGCCACACUGGAACUGAGACACGGUCCAGACUCCUACGGGAGGCAGCAGUAGGGAAUCUUCCGCAAUGGGCGAAAGCCUGACGGAGCAACGCCGCGUGAGUGAUGAAGGUCUUCGGAUCGUAAAACUCUGUUAUUAGGGAAGAACAAAUGUGUAAGUAACUAUGCACGUCUUGACGGUACCUAAUCGGAAAGCCACGGCUAACUACGUG
rnacentral:rRNA from 1 species